rnacentral:rRNA from 1 species
AGAGUUUGAUUCUGGCUCAGAACGAACGCUGGUGGCGUGUUUUAUACAUGCAAGUCGAGCGAGGACGGUAGCAAUACCGAGCCGAGCGGCGAACGGGUGAGUAACGCGUAAGCAAUCUGCCCCACAAUCGGGAACCAACCGUGCCAACGCGCGGCUAAUGCCGGAUAUUGUAGUCUACUGCAUAGUAGGCCAACGAAAGAUUUAUUGUUGUGGGAUGAGCUUGCGUCCGAUUAGCUAGUUGGCGGGUAAUAGCCCACCAAGGCGACGAUCGGUAGCCGGCCUGAGAGGGUGAUCGGCCACAUUGGGACUGAGAUACGGCCCAGACUCCGUACGGGAGGCAGCAGGUAGGGAAUAUUGCGCAAUGGGGGGAACCCUGACGCAGCGAACGCCACGUGUGGGAAGAAGCAUUUCGGUGUGUAAACCACUGUCGGAAAGGAAUAACGGAAGACUUCGGUCUUUAUGAAUGUACUUUUAGAGGAAGCACCGGCAAACUUCGUGCCAGCCGCCGC